AGCGAACGCUGGCGGCAAGCUUAACACAUGCAAGUCGAACGCCCCGCAAGGGGAGUGGCGGACGGGUGUAUAACGCGUGGGAAUCUACCCCUCAGUGCAGGAUAACUCAGGGAAACUUGAGCUAAUACUGCAUAAUAUCUCCGGAUCAAAGAUUUAUCGCUGAAGGAUGAGCCCGCGUCUGAUUAGCUAGUUGGUGGGGUAAUGGCCUACCAAGGCAACGAUCAGUAGCUGGUCUAAGAGGAUGAUCAGCCACACUGGGACUGAGACACGGCCCAGAAUCCUACGGGAGGCAGCAGUGGGGAAUAUUGGACAAUGGGGGAAACCCUGAUCCAGCUAUGCCGCGUGAGUGAUGAAGGCCUUCGGGUUGUAAAGCUCUUUAGUCAGGGACGAUAAUGACGGUACCUGAAGAAUAAGCCCCGGCAAACUUCGUGCCAGCCGCCGCGGUAA
rnacentral:rRNA from 1 species